rnacentral:rRNA from 1 species
GACGAACGCUGGCGGCGUGCUUAACACAUGCAAGUCGUACGGUAAGGCCCUUUCGGGGGUACACGAGUGGCGAACGCGUGAGUAACACGUGAGUAACCUGCCCACAACUUUGGGAUAACGCUAGGAAACUGGUGCUAAUACUGGAUAUGUGCUCCUGCUGCAUGGUGGGGGUUGGAAAGCUCCGGCGGCUGUGGAUGGACUCGCGGCCUAUCAGCUUGUUGGUGGGGUAGUGGCCUACCAAGGCGGCGACGGGUAGCCGGCCUGAGAGGGUGACCGGCCACAUUGGGACUGAGAUACGGCCCAGACUCCUACGGGAGGCAGCAGGGGGGAAUAUUGCACAAUGGGCGCAAGCCUGAUGCAGCAACGCCGCGUGCGGGAUGACGGCCUUCGGGUUGUAAACCGCUUUCAGCAGGGACGAAGCUUUUUGUGACGGUACCUGCAGAAGAAGCACCGGCUAACUACGUG